GCAAUCCUUGACCCUGGAGACCCGCCCCUGGCUGUUCCUCCUGCUAUGCCGUAAUAGGAUGCACCUGCCACUGAACUCCCUGCUGCUAUGGCUGCAACGUGAGUACCAUGCCCGUCGUGAUCCCUAGGUGUGCCCACAAAAGGUGUUUUUGAUUCUCCAGGUUUCUACAACAACAACCUCAAGCAAGAGCUACUAAGUUCCCGUGGACUCAGGGCUAACACACUGGAUCGGUUACUCAGGACAUUAAAUAAUACUGUUAUACCUGUUACAGCUGGAUGAUUUGAAAUCAUAACCUCUGGUGCAAGUUCCUUUCCAUCGCGAUGGGACUGGACCGAUACCUUUGUCAUUGAAACUCUCUGAUUCAGGCCAUAUUCCUAAAACAUAACACAGAAAGUUAAUAGUAAAGAAUGGACAAAGUGCAAUGAGAGUUUUUGGCAGUUCAGUUCCUAGCUACCAGUGUCGAAAA